rnacentral:rRNA from 1 species
UACAGAGGUCUCAAGCGUUGUUCGGAUUCAUUGGGCGUAAAGGGUGUGUAGGUGGCGCGCUAAGUCGGGUGUGAAAUUUCGGAGCUUAACUCCGAAACUGCAUUCGAUACUGGCGUGCUUGAGUGCGGCAGAGGGGGAUGGAAUUCCGCGUGUAGCAGUGAAAUGCGUAGAUAUGCGGAGGAACACCGAUGGCGAAGGCAAUCCCCUGGGCCUGCACUGACGCUCAUGCACGAAAGCGUGGGGAGCAAACAGG